ensembl:rRNA 5S_rRNA 5S ribosomal RNA
GUCUACGGCCAUACCACGCUGAACGUGCCCGAUCUCGUCUCGUCCUAGAAGCUUAGCAGGGUUAGGCCUGGUUAAUACUUGGAAGGGAGAAAAUGGUUAAUCAGCUGUUUGUGUUUU